rnacentral:lncRNA from 10 species
CUGAGGCGGUGUAUGUGCGGCAAUAACAUGUCAACCCCGCUGCCCGCCAUCGUGCCCGCCGCCCGGAAGGCCACCGCUGCGGUGAUUUUCCUGCAUGGAUUGGGAGAUACUGGAUGCGGUGGCUCAUGCCUGUAAUCUCAGCACUUUGGGAGGUGGAGGCGGGCGGAUCACCUGAGGUCAGGAGUUCAGGACCAGCCUGGCCAACAUGGCGAAACCCCAUCUCUACUAAAAAUACAAAAAUUAGCCAGGUGUGGUGGCACAUGCCUGUAAUCGCAGCUACUUGGGAGGCUGAGGCAGGAGAAUCACUUGAACCUGGGAGGCGGAGAUUGCAGUGAGCCAAGAUCGCACCAUUGCACUCCAGCCUGGGCAACAAGAGCAGAAGAGCAGAACUCUGUCUCAAAAAAAAAAAAAACGAAAAGAAAGGCUGGGCGCAGUGGUGCACGCCUGUAAUCCCAGCACUUUGGGAGGCCAAGGUGGGCAGAUCACGAGGUCAGGAGUUUGAGACCAGCCUGACCAGCAUGGUGAAACCCUGUCAUGGUGGCGCGCUUGUAAUCCCAGCUACUCGGGAGGCUGAGGUAGGAGAAUCGCUUAAACCCGGGAUGCGAAGGUUGCAGUGAAGAGAUUACAGGCUGCACUCCAUCCUGGGUGACCGAGCAAGACUGUGUUUCAGAAUAAAAUAAUCUUCCAGUUGUUUUUUUUUUCUUCAACAUGUCUUCUGUUAUUUAAAAAAGACAUUUUCUUGAGCUCUUUCAUUGGACGAGAGCUGCUGGCCAAAAACUGUGUAUAUAGUAGGGAAAACAAGGGUCUAUGUGGUUAAGACAUAAACACAGUUAAGAGAAGUAGCACAAAAUAUAAAUAAAUAAUAUUAAUAAUUAUUGAAUUACAAUUUUGAGCACAAAUAGGGGCAGAGCCACAAAUAGUCAAAAUUUACUGUGAAAUAUUGUUGCAUUGUCUGUAUAUUUGGGGUGAAUAAUUGAGAGGCAACUCUUCAACAGCCUGUUACUCCAGACAGGGGUAGAAACUAGUGAGUACAGCAAAAGGCCUUUGAACUAUAAAGUCCAUACCUUAAAGCUGUUGUACUUUUCUGUGUGAACUCCAGCAUUUUUAUUCUUUGGCAAAUGUCUAAUACAUACAAAAGAUUGUAAGUACUCAAAAAGCCAGUGGUAUAGAGUUCUUUGGUAUGGAGAAAAUAGCCAAUGUUUUAUUGUAUUAAUAACAAUUCUAAAAUUCAUGUUAAAUUUAAAUUUUUGGCCAGGCACAGUGGCUUACGCCUGUAAUCCCAACACUUUGGGAGGCCAAGGCAGGCGGAUCACUUGAGGUCAGGAGUUUGAGACCAGUCUGGCCAACAUGGUGAAACCUUGUCUCUACUAAAAAUAAAAAAAUUAGUUGGGUAUGGUGGCACAGGCCUGUAGUCCCAGCUACUCGAGAGGCUGAGGCAGGAGAAUCACUUUUACUCAGGAGGCGGAGGUUGCAGUGAACCGAGAUCACCCCACUGCACUCCAGCCUGGGCAACAGAGAGAGGCUCCAUCUCAAGAAACGUAAUAAAUAAAUAAAUAUAUUUACAUUUUUUAUUCUGUUUCUAUAGUCACCAUCAAUUUACAUAUUUCUCAAUAUACUUCGUAAGUGUAAACAUAAAGGAAUACGGCUGUCAUCUGCCUUGGCCAGCCAUGAUAUAGGUCAAGCUUUUAUUAUAUGUAGUAAUGUUUUGAGGAACAUAAUUGAAGCUUUAUUUUAUUUUGGACUCUAAUAAAUAGGUGGAAGAUUGUUAUUACUAUUUUUUGAGACAGAGUCUUGCUUUGUUGCCCAGGCUGGAGUGCAGUGGCAUAGUACGCUCGUGGCUCAGUACAACUCCCACCUCAGUCUCCCGAGUAGCUUGGACUACAGGUACGUGCCACCACACUUGGCUACUUUUUGUAGAGACAGGGUUUUGCCAUUGUUGCCCAGGCUGGUCUUGAACUCCUAAGGUCAAGUGAUCCACCCACCUCAGCCUCCCAAAGUGGUGGGAUUACAGGUGUGAGCCACCACGCCCAGCCUGAAGAUUAUUUUAUAAGUGUGAUUUUUUUUAAGUGGCUGUGUAGUCCCAAAACUAUAAUUAGCUGAAAUAAUACUGUAAUGUUUAAAACUUAUUUAGUUAUCCCUGAGGUCAUCAGCACAAAUCCUGAAAUAGAAAAUAUAGUAACGAUAUACUUAGAAAUUGAAAUAGAAAUAGAAAAAGCUUACAGAAAAUCAGCAUUGGCAAUAACCAUGGAAAACAUUUUAUAAUGUGGUUAUACUGUUAUCUUUUGCAGAGAUAACAGACAGGUUUAAAUUUUAUUUAUUUAUUUAUUUAUUUAUUUCAGGGGGAAACGAGGUCUCAGUCUGUUGCCCAGGCUGGAGUGCAGUGGUGUGAUCUCCGUUUACCGCACCCUCCGCCUCCCAGGCUCAAUUGAUCCUCCCACCUCAGUCUCCUGAGUAACUGAGACUGCAGGAGCGCUCCCAGCUAAUUUUGUAUUCUCAGUAGAUAUGGGGGAUUCGCCACAUUGCCCAGGCUGGUCUCAAUCUCCUGGACUCAAAUGAUCCGCCCAACUCAGCCUCCCAAACUGCUGGGGUCAAAGGCUUGAGCCACUGCACCCAGUCUAGUUUUUUAUCUUAUAUGCUGCUUGGAUACCUUUGCUGGUCAAGGCUCUGUGACAAAGAGUGCCUUAAUU